CAAACAUGUUUAAUUUUGUAACUAAUUUAGGUUGAGAAAUUGCGUAAUACAUUUAUUGGAAAUAAUAAUAAUAAUAAUAAUAAUAAUAAUAAUAAUAAUAAUAAUAAUAAUAAUAAUAAUAAUAAUGUAUAUGAAUACAGCUCUACUAAAAUGAAAGUAGAUACAGUUCACAACAGUCUACAUGUCAUCAGCACAAACGUGCGCUAUUGUACUGCGACAUACGCAUAUUUGGAAAUAGGGUUUUACACUCCCGGAGCGAACAGUAGAAUGGCAUUCAAGCAACUGAGUAAUGACUCUAACACAGCUCAGUAACUGUCGUUGGCUUUCACAGGAAUUAGCUGUCUUAAGGGUUGGUUGGGCAUUCAUACAACUGGGAUGCGUGCUUAAGAUAUUUAUACUGACAGCUAGGCUACAGUGAAAUACAUGUAAGUUGCAAACCAAAGGAGCCGUUGCUGUCACAUAGCACACCAACAUGAUGAGAUUAACACAAACUUCAACAAAUCAUAUCGUACUACAUGAUGCAUCUUUACUAAGCAGACUCAGCGGAGGUUGAGGUGGUGGAUCCAGUGGUGUCAAGGGUACAUGGGUCAGCGGCGUUGUUGGAUGGAAGAGAAGAAGCAGGACGGACAGAUUUCUUCAAAAAUGUUUUGCUUGGAUUUUGAGUUGAAGGAUGUCCUGAAGGAGAAAUGCAGUCCCCAUUUGAGAAUUCAGAUUCCAAAAAGAAAGAAAAGUGCAGCGGCCUCCCUUCCUCCUCCACUUUGCUGCGCCAUCCCUGCAACGAUCUCCCUCUGAAGGUAAUUGAAGUUUGCUUCCCAACCGUAGACCCAGCCGCGCAGGCCUUGUAUAAGAACAAACACAAAGGACAUGGAUAUAUGUUACCCCAUUGACCUCUCCAGGGGAAUAUGAAGAAGUGAUUUCAUGUUAAUAUAUGUUUUAUUAUUGCAAUGUAUGGUUUAUACUGUAAAGAAGAGUCUCCUUGCAUAAUUAGUCAUAAUUUCUAGUACAGGCUUACAGUAUACGCAGCCAAGCGUAUCACAAUAAUGAAGCAGUUCAGGAGAUCCCCUUAAAAAUGAGACAUGUUAGUAUAGUAAUAUCCUGGUAUGUAUGAGUUUGGUUCAGUAGCAUUGAACUGGGGAGCCCUCCUAUUUUGAAGUCUUUGGACUGCUGCGCUUACCAACAAAAUAACAAGUCUUUAGCCGGCUCCCUGCUGUGCCACUAUCUCAUUUUCCAAUUUUAUAACACAAAUUAGAUUGUUUAAGAGCAUAUGCAUACUGGAAUAGUAAUACUGGAGGCAACCAAGGACAAAGACAGUGUAGAAUUGUUCUAUAUUUGUGUUUUUUUAACAGCAAAUAAAAACCAUGCUCCUUUCCAUGGAAAUGCACGUAGAGCAUAGUGAAAUUGCUACCUAACUGUAUAUUCAUGCUUUUGACAGAAUAAGACGUGUGUAAAAAACUGGGGACAUUUUAAAAAGUACAUUUCUAUAGGAAUGUAUACACAAGGGUGUAGUACCACCAUGGGCAUAUGGGGCUGAUAAGUCUGCUAGAGAUACCUGAUCAUUCUACCUCUUAUUAUUAGUCUUAGUAUCUGUAUGCCAGAUUGUUUUUCAUCCAUCGGACCUACAGUACACAAUAACUAGUGUUCCGCAUUUCAGGUUUAUUCCAAAUUUUACUGAAAAAUUACAGGAUAGACGUCGGUUUUUACUGAUUUAUACCCCUAUUUUUUGUCUAUUAUUCAAUAUUUCCCCAGUACUAUUUUCUAGGAAAUACACACUAUUUUAAUUAAAAUGCAGUUUUAUUUUGACUCCGACAUUGUAAUAAGCAGCCCUACACUAGGAUACAGCAGACGUCAAUUUUCUUUUAUAUUUAUGAUUUCAAUGCGAAUAAACUUGGCUUGUCAUGUUCAUACCUUCUGUAGAUACUACUUCCGUCAGUACCAGCUAACUUGGGAAAAUGUGGCUUCGACUUGCACAGAUUCUGCUUCAUGUCCCCCAAUGCCAGGGACAUUAAAACCAUCAGAAACCAGAACUGCUACGCAUCAUAUGUAAAGUGUGUAUACUGAGAUUUUUUCUCCACGAUUCUUACCGAUGUUUCAAUUUAAAACAAUUUUUUUUUACCGAUUUUAUCCCUAUUUUAAUAUAUGUAAAAAAACUCUGAAAAAUUCCCGGAAUUAUUUUUUAAAGAUAAAAAACCAAAACGCAGAACACUGACAAUAACUUACAGCACUUUUUGAGUUUUGCAGAUAUCCAGAGAACUGCUUGUCUAGUUGUAAUGAAACCGGAUAAGGACCUUCUUUAGAACAAGUUCUAUAUCAUAAUCUGUGGAUAUAUGGAGGUUGUUUAUCUGUUCUUCUAGCUGUUUAUCUGUAUGUUUGGAUAGAGAUCAUAUUAAUCAACGUUUCAAGGUACUAUUGUCUCUAAUUUUAAAUUUACAGCCGUGGUUGUUCAGGUAAAUUGUUAAUGGAAGUCUGUAGCAAAGCUUCCAGAAUGGAGUGUUCACUUUAGAGACAUGAAAUACAAGGCUUUAUUCAGUCUUACAAAAUGAACUGCCAAAGGAGUGCUUUCUAUCAUCUCUUUAUGGUCUGGUCUACUUUCUCCAUUAUGACUGACUUGCAACAAGAUGGUGCAUCUUUAUUAUAGAAUACAUGCCAGGGAUAUCAUUUGACAAACAAAUGAAUCAGUCAUGUAAGCAACAGUGUGCAUGUGUUACUAUUUUAUUUUUGAUCAAUCCCUGUUACAAUUCAAGUGUUACAGUAUACCUAUAAUUUUAAUUACAAAAUAAUAACUGACUGUAUGAGUGAAAAAAACGAAAGAUCGUCUGUAUUCCUGCUUUUGUUUUCAGUGCUUGUACACUUGUUGGUUCUCAGGCUAUUCCAAUGAAUGUUUUUCCUUGUUCUUUACAUAUUGUUGGAAUGCAGAUAUAGUUUUAAUACACUGAUGCUCCUGACUUAGUUCCAGAACACAAACCCCUGCAGCUACUGUGGGUUGUUAUACAAUGGUAGAGUUCUUUUCAUUCUCUCAGUGUUUCUUAGAUUAUUCCAGAAUCUGCAUAACUUCCUAACGUGGAGCUUUCAAUAAGCCAUUUAUCGUGUGAUUUAUCUUGAGAUAUCUUACUUUUUCAGGGCAGCAAGGCAACCAAAAGCAUAGUUUUAAUAUUACAAAUACAGACUUGCAUUCUACUGAAAAUCCAAACACCCCGUUUCAAAGUAAGUGCUCAGGCAAAGGCACAUUUUCUUUGAGGAAUAGAACAAUACAGUAGUUUAUAGCAAGUUGCAUUCAUUUUAGAAAUACUAAAUAUGAACGGUGUCUCUAUCAGGGCAGAAUAGCCCUAUGUGUAAAAAGGGGCCAGGCCAAAGUCUGCUGAUUAAAUGGGUUGCGUUUAUUGUAUUAUGAUUUAAAAUGUAUUGUUUGUUUUAUUUUAGAAUGGGUGAUUUAAUGUAUUGUUUUGUGGGUAUUUAAAAUAAUGGUUUGUGUAUUGUUUUAGUGUGAUUAUUUCUGUGUUUAGUUAAAAAUGCAAUGUUUUUGUUUGUUAUUGUUUUGCAGUGUGGAUGGGGUUAAAGCCUCCUCCCACUAAACCCGCGCAAAAGGUGACCAUCUCCAGAUAAAUUAAUUGAUUAAUUUAUUGCUAAUCUGGAGAUGGUCACCAGUAUAAAAGCCUGCAGCUUUUCUUGUUCAGUGUGGGUGUUCAGAAGGAGGAACGUGGGCGAGCGAGCGAAAAUCUAAAACAAAAGUAAAAAGAAAAGAAAAGAAAACAAUUGCUACUCGUAGUGUAAAACACCAGCACGGUACUUGUUUGUGUUUAUGAUAUGUUAUUGUCAAACUUUUAUUUUGCUCUGUUUUUUUUUUAUAUAUUUAUUU